rnacentral:rRNA from 1 species
UACGAAGGGGGCUAGCGUUGUUCGGAAUUACUGGGCGUAAAGCGCGCGCAGGCGGUCUUCCAAGUCAGUGGUGAAAGCCCGGAGCUCAACUCCGGAACUGCCAUUGAAACUGUGAGACUGGAGUACGAGAGAGGUGAGUGGAAUUCCCAGUGUAGAGGUGAAAUUCGUAGAUAUUGGGAAGAACACCGGUGGCGAAGGCGGCUCACUGGCUCGUAACUGACGCUCAUGCACGACAGCGUGGGGAUCAAACAGG